rnacentral:rRNA from 1 species
CAAUAGCGUAUAUUAAAGUUGUUGCAGUUAAAAAGCUCGUAGUUGGAUUUGUGGUUCGUCCCGCCGGCUGGGUCAUUGACUUUUGCUGUGCUGGUCGUCCAUCCUUGGGUGGAAUCUGUGUGGCAUUAGGUUGUCGCGCAGGGGAUGCCCAUCGUUUACUGUGAAAAAAUUAGAGUGUUCAAAGCAGGCUUAUGCCGUUGAAUAUAUUAGCAUGGAAUAAUGAUAUAGGACCUUGGUACUAUUUUGUUGGUCUGCGCAUCGAGGUAAUGAUUAAUAGGGACAGUUGGGGGUAUUCGUAUUCCAUUGUAAGAGGUGAAAUUCUUGGAUUUUUGGAAGACGAACUACUGCGAAAGCAUUUACCAAGGAUGUUUUCAUUAA